GGUGAACGCUGGCGGCGUGCCUAAUACAUGCAAGUCGAGCGGAAACAUGAGGAGAUUGUUCUUCUGAGGUUAGCGGCGGACGGGCGAGUAACACGUAGAUCACCUUCCUCUAAGACUGGGAUAAUAACGGGAGAAAGGAGAUACUAAUAGCUCAUAUAUCGAACCGCAUGGUUCAAUGGUGCUUGACGGUUUUGCUGACACUUAUAGAUGGUUCCGGGCCGCAUUAGCUAGUUGGUAAGGUAACGGCCUACCAAGGCAACGAUGCGUAGCCGAUCUGAGAGGGUGAUCAGCCACACUGGAACUGAGACACGGUCCAGACUCCUACGGGAGGCAGCAGUGGGGAAUCUUCCGCAAUGGGCGCAAGCCUGACGCAGCAACACCGCGUGGGUGAUGAAGGCCUUCGGGUUGUAAAGCUCUUUUGUUAGGAAAGAACAGCAGUAGGUUAAUCUAUGGCCGUCUUGACGGUACCCAAAGAAUAAGCCACGGCUAACUUCGUG
rnacentral:rRNA from 1 species